AUUGAACGCUGGCGGCAUGCCUAACACAUGCAAGUCGAACGAGUGGCGGACGGGUGAGUAAUGUCUGUGAAACUGCCUGAUGGAUGGGGAUAACUACUGGAAACGGUAGCUAAUACCGCAUACCAUCGGAUGUUCCCAUAGGGGAUUAGCUAGUUGGUGGGGUAACGGCUCACCGAGGCGACGAUCCCUAGCUGGUCUGAGAGGAUGACCAGGCAAACGGGAACUUAGACACGGGGCAGAGUCCUACGGGAGGCAGCAGUGGGGAAGAGUGCACAAUGGGCGCAAGCCUGAUACAGCCAUGCCGCGUGUAUGAAGAAGGCCUUCGGGUUGUAAAGUACUUUCAGCGGGGAGGCGUUACCCGCAGAAGAAGCACCGGCUAACUCCGUGCCAGCAGCCGCGGUAAUAC
rnacentral:rRNA from 1 species